rnacentral:rRNA from 1 species
ACGUAGGAGGCGAGCGUUAUCCGGAUUUACUGGGCGUAAAGCGCGUGCAGGCGGUUCAAUAAGUUGGAUGUGAAAGCUCCCGGCUAAACUGGGAGAGGACGUUUAAGACUGUUGGGCUAGAGGAUGAGAGACGGAAGUGGAAUGUCGUGUGUAGUGGUGAAAUGCGUAGAUAUGCGGCGGAACACCAGUGGCGAAGGCAGGUCACUGGAUUAUAACUGACGCUCAGGCGCGAAAGCUUGGGUAUCAAACGG